rnacentral:rRNA from 1 species
UACGUAGGGUGCAAGCGUUAAUCGGAAUUACUGGGCGUAAAGCGUGCGCAGGCGGUUUUGUAAGUCUGACGUGAAAUCCCCGGGCUCAACCUGGGAAUUGCGUUGGAGACUGCAAGGCUGGAGUGUGGCAGAGGGGGGUAGAAUUCCACGUGUAGCAGUGAAAUGCGUAGAGAUGUGGAGGAACACCGAUGGCGAAGGCAGCCCCCUGGGUCAAGACUGACGCUCAUGCACGAAAGCGUGGGGAGCAAACAGG